rnacentral:rRNA from 1 species
GACGAACGCUGGCGGCGUGCUUAACACAUGCAAGUCGAACGGUGAACCUCUUCGGAGGGGAUCAGUGGCGAACGGGUGAGUAACACGUGGGCAACCUGCCCCCGGCUCUGGGAUAACUCCAAGAAAUUGGGGCUAAUACCGGAUGUUCACCGCUUCCCGCAUGGGUGGUGGUGGAAAGGGUUUCCGGCUGGGGAUGGGCCCGCGGCCUAUCAGCUUGUUGGUGGGGUAGUGGCCUACCAAGGCGACGACGGGUAGCCGGCCUGAGAGGGUGACCGGCCACACUGGGACUGAGACACGGCCCAGACUCCUACGGGAGGCAGCAGUGGGGAAUAUUGCGCAAUGGGCGGAAGCCUGACGCAGCGACGCCGCGUGGGGGAUGACGGCCUUCGGGUCGUAAACCUCUUUCAGCAGGGACGAAGCGCAAGUGACGGUACCUGCAGAAGAAGCACCGGCCAACUACGUG